GACGGGGCCCGCACAAGCGGUGGAGCAUGUGGUUUAAUUCGACGCAACGCGAAGAACCUUACCAGGGCUUGACAUCCCCUGACCGCGUAUGAAAGUACGUUUUCACCUCGGGUGACAGGGAGACAGGUGGUGCAUGGUUGUCGUCAGCUCGUGUCGUGAGAUGUUGGGUUAAGUCCCGCAACGAGCGCAACCCCUACGUUUAGUUGCUAACAGGUGAAGCUGAGCACUCUAGACGAACUGCCGUUGACAAAACGGAGGAAGUGGGGAUGACGUCAAAUCAUCAUGCCCCUUAUGUUCUGGGCUACACACGUGCUACAAUGGCCGGUACAGACGGAGGCGAAGCCGCGAGGCGGAGCAAAUCCGAAAAAGCCGGUCUCAGUUCGGAUUGCAGGCUGCAAUUCGCCUGCAUGAAGUCGGAAUCGCUAGUAAUCGCGGAUCAGCACGCCGCGGUGAAUACGUUCCCGGGCCUU
rnacentral:rRNA from 1 species